rnacentral:tRNA from 1 species
CAGUGGUUAGCUCACUUGGAUAGAGCAUCGGUCUUAGAAACCGAGUGUAGCGGGUUCGAAUCCUGCACCACGCGC